CGCGGGGUGGAGCAGUCUGGUAGCUCGCCAGGCUCAUAACCUGGAGGUCGCGGGUUCAAAUCCCGCCCCCGCUACCA
rnacentral:tRNA from 1 species